rnacentral:rRNA from 1 species
AGAGUUUGAUCCUGGCUCAGGACGAACGCUGGCGGCGUGCUUAACACAUGCAAGUCGAGCGGUAAGGCCCUUCGGGGUACACGAGCGGCGAACGGGUGAGUAACACGUGAGUAACCUGCCUCUAGCUCUGGGAUAAGCCUGGGAAACUGGGUCUAAUACCGGAUAGGACUCUUGCCUGCAUGGGUGAGGGUGGAAAGUUC